rnacentral:lncRNA from 1 species
AGUUGGUGAACACAAUAGCAAAUCUUUUUAAUAAAAAUAACAGCAAUAAAAAAAUAACAAAUAUUUGAAAUUUGAUAUUAAAAUAUGAACAAUGACAAAAAUACUGAAAGAAGUUACAAUAUUAACAAAUAUUGAUAUAAAACAAUGGUUAAAAAAUUGUCUUCAUAAACAAUAGCACGUGCAUUUUUCUCGUGCAGUUACGUCAGGUGACCAUGUAUUCAGUGAAUCACAAGUAAUAAAUAAACAAAAAAUAUGAGUGUGUCUUACCUGAGUUAUACAUGUUAUAACCAACAAAAGUAUUAAAAGUCUUAAAACAUUUUUAAAUAUUAUAAUAAUAUGCCCUAGCAAGAUACAUAAACAAUCAACCUUAAGAAAAACAAUAACAAAAGUAAACCUAAUUUAGGUAAACAUGAUAACAUGGUACGCAUUUAACAAAAAAAAUUAAAAAUUAAAAAAAAAAUUCUGAAAAACUUGGAUCAUUUUUAGAACACAAAAUAUUAACAUUGAUGAAAUAGUGUCAUAGCCUAUGAGGAAAUCGUUUUAAAAUCAAGUUACUUCCCAAAUAACUGACAUCUACUUUACAUGUGUAUAUGUCUCAUCCCCACUUUGAAGAUGUAGAUUUG